UUUCGUACUUAUAUUUUUUAUUUUCUUGUUUAUAAAAUAGUGAAUGCAUUAUAACCUAACUUUUGAACUGUCAGUGUCACUGUCAAGUAGUUGUCAUAUUCAUAUCACGUUCGCGUUAUGUAGCACGGUUUCCUCGAGAUCCUCCUCAGCUCAAACGAUCUACGACUCAAACGCAGUGUUUUAUUGAUUAGAGAUUCGCAAACAGUUUAAAUUAACAUUGUCUCGAUAUGUUCCGCUUACCUUUUGGUGAAAGGGUCGACCCCAUGGAGGAGAAACGACAGGCUAGAGAAAACACCAUCAAUAGUGUUAUUACGUUCUGUAUACUCUGCGCCGCCAUAAGAGUCGCCCCACUGAUCCUGGAGCACACCGGCAUAUAAACAACACGAGCAGCCAUCAUUCUAUCACUCCACCAUGCUGUUUUACCACCAUGCUGCCAUGGUAGCCAGCGAUCAUUCAUCUAAUUGUUCUGUUUAUGUCCAAAUAUUAUGAAAUAAAAUUAUUGUAGUUGUUAUUUUAA